rnacentral:miRNA from 1 species
UUAGCCUCUGCAUGUAUGUACACAUGUGUGUAACAACACAUAUACAUACAUGCACAAAUAGUACUAAAUAAAACCAACACA